GAUGAACGCUGGCGGCGUGCCUAAUACAUGCAAGUCGAGCGAAAGGAUUAAGAGCUUGCUCUUAUGAAGUUAGCGGCGGACGGGUGAGUAACACGUGGGUAACCUGCCCAUAAGACUGGGAUAACUCCGGGAAACCGGGGCUAAUACCGGAUAAUAUUUUGAACUGCAUGGUUCAAAAUUGAAAGGCGGCUUCGGCUGGCACUUAUGGAUGGACCCGCGUCGCAUUAGCUAGUUGGUGAGGUAACGGCUCACCAAGGCAACGAUGCGUAGCCAACCUGGGAGGGUGAUCGGCCACACGGGGACUGAGACACGGCCCAGACUCCUACGGGAGGCAGCAGUAGGGAAUCUUCCGCAAUGGACGAAAGUCUGACGUAGCAACGCCGCGUGAGUGAUGAAGGCUUUCGGGUCGUAAAACUCUGUUGUUAGGGAAGAACAAGUGCUAGUUGAAUAAGCUGGCACCUUGACGGUACCUAACCAGAAAGCCACGGCUAACUACGUGCCAGCCGCCGCGGUAA
rnacentral:rRNA from 1 species